UACAGAGGUCCCAAGCGUUGUUCGGAUUCACUGGGCGUAAAGGGUGCGUAGGCGGUCGGGUAAGUCUGAUGUGAAAUCUUCAAGCUUAACUUGGAAACUGCAUCGGAUACUAUUCGGCUAGAGGAAUGGAGGGGAGACUGGAAUACUUGGUGUAGCAGUGAAAUGCGUAGAUAUCAAGUGGAACACCAGUGGCGAAGGCGAGUCUCUGGACAUUUCCUGACGCUGAGGCACGAAAGCCAGGGGAGCAAACGGG
rnacentral:rRNA from 1 species